rnacentral:tRNA from 1 species
GUCCAGGGAUGGGAAUCGAACCCACAGUGUUCCGCUUACCGGGCAGAUGUCAUUUCCACUAGGCUACCCUGGA